rnacentral:snRNA from 1 species
AUCGCUUCUCGGCCUUUUGGCUAAGAUCAAGUGUAGUAUCUGUUCUUAUCAGUUUAAAAAGAGAUGAAUUAAAGGAAACAAAUUUUUUUGUGAUUACUUAUGGACUCUGAGCAUUUCCUCCAAACACCGUAUACACCAU